rnacentral:rRNA from 1 species
GACUUAGUGGCGGACGGGUGAGUAACGCGUGAGGAACCUGCCUUUCAGUGGGGGACAACAGUUGGAAACGACUGCUAAUACCGCAUAAUGUAUUCUGACCGCAUGAUCGGAAUACCAAAGAUUUAUUGCUGAAAGAUGGCCUCGCGUCUGAUUAGAUAGUUGGUGAGGUAACGGCCCACCAAGUCAACGAUCAGUAGCCGGACUGAGAGGUUGAACGGCCACAUUGGGACUGAGAUACGGCCCAGACUCC